rnacentral:rRNA from 1 species
UGAGUAACCUGCCCUUAACUUCGGGAUAAGCCUGGGAAACCGGGUCUAAUACCGGAUAUGACUCCUCAUCGCAUGGUGGGGGUGGAAAGCUUUAUUGUGGUUUUGGAUGGACUCGCGGCCUAUCAGCUUGUUGGUGAGGUAAUGGCUCACCAAGGCGACGACGGGUAGCCGGCCUGAGAGGGUGACCGGCCACACUAGGACUGAGACACGGCCCAGACUCCUACGGGAGGCAG